CUUACGUGACAAAAGGGACUUUGCAGUUGUGAUGAAGUCAAGGAUCCUGAGAUGGGAGAUGGUCCUGAUUCCCCGGGUGGCUCCAGUGUAAUCUCAAUCAUGGUGAGAGGGAGGAAGGAGGGCCAGAGUCAGAGAGGAAGGGUGGGGCGGAGGCGGAGGUUGGAGCGAUGCACAUAAGCCAAGAUGCGGGGGCAGCGGAGAGAGGGAGGGAGGCGUUCUCUUCUCUCCAGAAGGAGCACAGCUCUGCCGACUCCUUGAUAUGAAGACACAGGAUCUCAGCAAGUUUAUGUGAUUUGCCUGGAGUUUCAACAUAUAGAAGUAUGCAAGUCUGCAUUCAGCAUUCUGUCCCCUGCACGGGCCCAUUGUGAAGAUUAAUUCUCCAUGACAACUCGGCGGGUCCACGGAGCCCAGGUAUUUGGUCAAACGUUAUUUUGGAUGUUUCUGUGAAGGUGUUUUUUGGAUGAGAUUAAUAUUUAAACUGGUGGACUUUGAGUUAAGCAGAUUUCCCUUCACAGUGAGAGUGGGCCUCACCAAAACUGACCCCUGAGCAGGAAGGAACUCCUCCCGCAGACUGCUCCGGACUCGAGCUACAGUUCUUGCCGGGUCCCAGCCUGCCAGCUUCCCCUGCAGAUUUUGAAUUUACAAUCCACAAUCAAACGAACGAACUCCUUAACAUAAAUCUCUUUCUCUCUCUCUCUCUGCACACAUACACCCUGUUGUUCUGUUUCUCUGGAGAAUUCUGCCUAAACACACCAAUUAAUAAAUAUUUUUCAGAUGGCUUCAGAGUGGGAUUCAUAGCUGGCCUUUGUAAAUUUUCUUUUACACCCAAAAGCCCUGCAAGAAUUAUUUCACAGAAGGUCUAGGAGCUUAGAAUAGUUGAGCACUUUCCCCUGAAUCAGGAUUCCUGAAACAAUGAUAGGUUAGGAAGGACAGGAAGGCAUGGAUAGGAAGGCACUGCCCAUCUGGGGGUUCUCACGUGAAGAGGGGUUCUUGCUGUGCCCAGCUACUAGGGACCAGGGGCAGCUGAGGGGCAGCAGAGCCUGGGGUCUGGGACACUCAGACUAAUGAACCAGGCACCCUAGCCCACAAAACAACCGUGAAAAUAUCACUCGGAGUUUCCGACCAUGGUUUUUGAAUAACUGCUCAAACACUAGAGCUGUAGGCACCUGAGAGGCCACCCCAGGUCUCUGGUAUACCUUGUAGCAUUUCAUUAAUCAUUUCAAUGAAACUUUUAUGUGCCUUCUAUGAGGCAGGCACUAGGAAUACAGAGGUGAACCAGGCAGAAAAAGUCUCUUUCUCCAUGGAUUAUAUUUGCUAGUGGGGGUAGGAAUCAAGGAGAAAGGACAGAUAGUAAACAGAAAAUAAAAUAAAAUUUAAAAGACAUAAUCAAGGCUCCCAUGAAGAAUUAAAGUCUAAUCUCCUUCCCCUUGAAUCUGGGAAGGUUUGUGACUCACCUGUAACCAAUCGGAUAUGGCAGAGGAAGCUAAGUAUGAUUUCUAAGGCUGGUUCUAAAAGGUGAUGAUGCUUCUGUCUUGUGUAGUAAAAUAUUUGUCCCUAGUGUCAUGAGAACCAGCCACCAAUCCUUAUCCUCAGACCGCCAUGUUGUCAGGAAGCUCAAAUUUGCCUUCCUCAAAAGACCACAUGGAGAGGCCAUCAGAUUACAUGCACAGAGAGAGGGAUGCUGAGCCAGGCUCCAGCCCUUCACUAUUCCAGCUCUGGGUACCAUGACUGCAAUGCAUGAGAGAUGCUAAGCCAGACCACCCUGCAGAGCCCUUCCCAAGUUCCCGACCCACAGAAACUAUAAGAGAUAAUAUUGUUGUUUUAAGCUACUAGAUUUGGGGUUGAUCUAUUACACAGCAGUAGAUAACCAGGACAGAGAGAGGGCAGGAGGUAAGGGACUACUUCAUAAUAGGGAGCCAGGAAAGCCUCUAUUGGAAAAUGACAUACGAGCUGAGACCUCGACCACGAGAGGAGCAGCCACGUGGAGGGGAAGGGGAAGAGCCUUCCUGGCAGAGGGAAGUGCAGGAGUCCUGGCACAGCAACACUCUAGGACACUCACAGAGGAGCAAGAAGGCCAGUGUGUUGGGGCAAUAACAAAUGAGAGGGUGAGUGGAUGGAGAAACAUUGAGAGAGGUAGGAAGGUAGAUCAGAGAGAGCUUUUUAGGCUGGGUCACCAGAUGUCCCAGUUUGCCUGGGAUAGUCCUGGCUCAGGCCUGUGGUUCUAGCUAAUAUUAUGGCCACCCAGCAAAAGCCAUGGCCAACAGCCUGGUAUGCUUUUUCUUUAUUCUCCACUGUCCCCAGGCUGAUCCCUGUGCCCCCCACCUCUACCUGCACACUCCACCCCAAACCUAAGAGACAGUCCCUGCCCUCUUGUGCAUCCCUCUCCCAGCUUUGCUGUUUGCUUCCUUGAUUCUUAUCCACGUUGGAAACAGCCAAGUCUGUUCCUUCCGUGAUCCCAGACUGUGCCUCCAACUUAGUGGGAGAUGUGGAGAAACUGGCUGGAGAGGUCAUUUGGGGUCCAAGGUCCUGGGUGCAAGUUCUAGAUCCACUGUGUCUGGCCUACAUGACCUAAGGUGGCUUGUUUUCCUUCUUAGUCCUUGAGAUUCUCAUCUAUUACGUAGAAUUUUAAAAUGUUUAUUUCACAGGGUUAUUUCAAAAAGAGCAGGUGACUAUUUGCCAAGCAAGAGUUGGUUUCAAGUCUGAGGAAGCUUGACAAGGUGCUAUGGUUUUAACGUCCCAUCCAAAACUCAGCUGAAAUGUAAUUGCCAUGAUGGUAGCAAGAGGAGGGACUAUUAAAAGAUGAUUAGACUAUGAGGGCCCCACCCUCUGAAUGGCUUAAAGCUGUUAUGGCAGGAGCGAGUUCCUGACCCUCUUGCACCCCAUCAUUCAUUCUCGCCCUCCCCUGUCCUGCCAUGGGAGGACACAGCAAGAAAGAUCACAGCAGAUGCUUGAUAUUGGACUUCACAGCCUCCAAAACUGUAAGAAAUAAACUUCUUUCCUUCAUAAAUUACCCAGUGUGGUAGCUGUUACUGUAACACAAAAUGAACAAGAGGAAAGGGAUUUCAAAGAAGAAAUGCCUGACGUUUAGGAGGAGGGAUAAAAUCAUUGGAGGGCUCACUCUGGGGAUGUUUAAGGUGAAAACAGCUGGCUGCCUCCAGAACAAGGUGGAUCUGUACUCCUGAACUAGAGGCUGGGCUCUGCAUGGGUGACCUCUGUUCACUUCUGUUAGUGAACAGAUCACUUCUGUUAAUUAAUGAGUGAAUAUAUUCACUCAAACAGGCUUGGAUUCAAGUCCUAGUUCUCUCAC